GAAUUUAACAAUCAUCUCUCAAGCUUCAACAGGACAUAAAUGUAAUCUUAGAUGCCAGGGUCCUCUCUCCUAGCUCGCUAUCAGAGAGGUACACACUGAGAGUCGUUUUUAAAUUCAGGGCAGUGGGCUUAAAACCUUCAAGAGCCUUUUCUUGAGCAACAGGAAUUCUGAGUUAUUCUCUGGGAAGCACUCAUGGGUCUCUCUUAUCAACUUUAUAACAAAAAUCUACCAAGGAACCCUUGGUUGGCACAAGCUAGCCAAUGGUUAGUAGCCAAAUGGCACCCCCUGCCAAAGUCUACAUUCCCAGGACUCCAGUUGCUCUGCAUUCUAAGAAGCAGACAGACACUGUGGUGACAUCCCAUUUUUCAGUGUUGCGACUUGUAGAACCAGAGUGUACUUUCUUCUAGGAAGGCCCCCAAGACCCGGAGUUUAGCAAGGGCAACUCAUAAAGGAGUGAGUGUAACACCGUCCUUUGGAGCACAAGGAACUCAGCAGUGAACACAUCAGGAAAGAACAAGGCUUCUCUUCCAGCAGCCCUUGACACAGCCACCAGCUCCCCUGGGAGGGGCAGAUCCCUAUGAGCCCCUCCUCUUCCCAUAAUCCACUGCAUUUGGUAUAGUCUUGUGUGGACCUUAUGCAAGAAACCAAAGCUGUUGUGCGUUCUACAGCAGCAUAUUUGAGACAUCCAAGUUGGAAGAAACCCAAUUGGAGAUGGCAUUAUCAUAUUCUGCUAAUGGUAGGGAAAAGCGUAAGGCUUAGCUGUGAAACAACCUUGGUCCUUUCAUACUAUAACAUGGGUGAAACUUGCUGACAUCAUGCCACUAAACAAAAGAUGCCACACACAAAGGAAAAGUACUGUGUGGCUUUUUAUCAGGUCCCUGGAAUUGUCAAAUCCCUAGAAACUGAAAAAGGCUAGCCAUUCCCAGGGGCCAGGAGAGAUUAAUCGGGAAUUAGUGCUGAGCCAAUACAGUUUUAGUCUAGGAAGCCAGCUAUGGCUUUCAAGUGGAGUAGUAGUGAUGGUUGGAAUUUGUCGAUCAGACAUCAAUGGAUGAGUCAUAUCUAUCAGACUAACCUGCAGGUAUGUCUGUAGGGGCAUUUUCUUCAUUACUGAUUUAUGUCGGGAGGAGCAGUCUAUCCUAGGCCGUGCUACCCUGGGAAAGUGGUCCUGGGUUGGAUAAGAAGGCAAACUGAGCAAGCCAUAGAGGAGUAGUAUUCCUCCACGACCUCUGUUUUUGUUCUUGCUGCUGGGGCCUGCUUUGUUUGAGUUUCUGCCUUGGCUUCCCUCAGUGAUGAACUAUGGUCACGAUGGGUAACCUCAGUAAACCCUUUUCUCUACAAGCUGACUUUGAGGAUGGUGUUUAUCACAUCGAUAGAAAACAAACAAGGACUAAUGGUGGUGAUACUCACUGUGCAAACAGACUUGAUGGCACCGAACUGUGCACUUAACAAUGACUGCUGUGUCAGUUGUGUUAUAUUUAUCAAUUGAACAUUUUUAAAGUAUUAGAGAAAAAUGCUGGUGUAAUUACAGGUGCAUGAUCUAAUAGCUGAUGUUGCUUCUAAAAUAUCUAAUAAAAUCCCAAACAAAACAAUCUGACUAGGAAACAAGACUAGGAAAAGAAUGUGACUGUUGAAGCAGGGUGCUGGGCAGCAAGGCGGGUCAUCAUGGACUCUACGCUGUAUUAAACAUUAUACACAUACACAUUUUUAAAAGCUCUAUGAUGGUUUUGGGGUUCUGAAUUUGAUUUUCUGAGCUAUGCUGUGCAUGUAUGCUGUCUCUAGAGGAGUCAAUGAAGAACAACUGCAGCAAAGCAAAGCUCUGCUCUAUAGCACCUUGCCGAGAAGCCGCCAUGCUUUGUUAAUGGUGUGGGCAGAAGCUGAGAGAGGAAGUCAUGGGAGAUGUCAUGAUCGAUCAGAGUCCUUGUCUGUCCUGUCCGACUGCUGCAGUUGUAGAUAGUCCUUCUUGCUUCCUCUAAGGAUGCUAAUGCUCCAUCAAUUGAGACAGAAUAAGGAAGGAAAACCCCAGGGAACCGUAUUCGUUAAAACGUUUUCUAGGUGACGCUAACAUUAGUCAAGGUCAAGAGCUAUUUGCAUAUUGUAUUAGUCUGCUUCCCCUCCAUGUGGAAAAAAAUGCCUGAGCUAAACAGCUUUAAAAGAGAUGGGCAGGCACCAAACCCUGACACUAUUAUUGAUGUUAUAUUGUGCUUGCAGACAGGAGCCUGGCAUGGCUGUCCUUUGAGAGGCCCAGCAUGCAGCUGAUUGAGACAGAUGCAGAUACUUACAUCCAACCACUGGACGGAGGUCAGGGAACCCUAUGGAAGAGUUAUGGGAAGCACUAAAGGAACUGAAGGGGAUGGAAACCCCAUAGGAAGAACAGGGUCAACUAACCUGGACCCCUGGAAAUAACCAGAGACUAAGCCACCAACCAAAGAGCAUACAGGGGCUGGCUGGAGGUCUCUGGCAUAUACGUAGCAAGGGCGCAUAUGCCUUAUCUGGACUCAGUGAUUGAAAAAUGUGCCUAAUCCUGAAGAGACUCGAUGCCCCAGAGAAGGAGGAAGUGAAAGCAGAAUGAGUGGGAAGGGCAACAUUUGGGAUGUAAAUAAAUAAAAUGAUUACUUUAU
ensembl:antisense Igf1os insulin-like growth factor 1, opposite strand